UACGGGGGGGGCAAGCGUUGCUCGGAAUCACUGGGCGUAAAGCGCACGUAGGCGGCUUACUAAGUCAGGGGUGAAAUCCUGGAGCUCAACUCCAGAACUGCCUUUGAUACUGAAGAUCUUGAGUUCGGGAGAGGUGAGUGGAACUGCGAGUGUAGAGGUGAAAUUCGUAGAUAUUCGCAAGAACACCAGUGGCGAAGGCGGCUCACUGGCCCGAUACUGACGCUGAGGCACGAAAGCGUGGGGAGCAAACAGG
rnacentral:rRNA from 1 species